rnacentral:lncRNA from 1 species
UGUACUUGGCUUAGUUAGAUUGGAUCUAUAUACAUGCUUAGGAUCGUAUAGCGUUUAUCCAUCGGAUCCAUGGGUAAAUGAUAGAUAUUUUGUAGGCGUGGUGCUUAUACCGUAUUUAUCUGCGAUUGUACCCAAUAUGCCAGAUCGUGGGGUGGUUCGUGAUAGUGACAGCUUCAUUGAUUCUUAUAUAGUCCCCCUCUCGUGUAUUGGGCUGGCAGAGCAACAUUAUUACUGGGGAG